rnacentral:misc_RNA from 1 species
UAGGGAUAGCAGCGGAAAGCCCACAAGAAAGUGAAGUGAAACGCAACUUUAUGAGGACUUGUAACGAAUAGCCCGACCGUUU